rnacentral:rRNA from 1 species
AUUGAACGCUGGCGGCAGGCCUAACACAUGCAAGUCGAGCGAGCGGCGGACGGGUGAGUAAUGUCUGGGAAACUGCCUGCUGGAGGGGGAUAACUACUGGAAACGGUAGCUAAUACCGCAUACCAUCAGAUGUGCCCAGAUGGGAUUAGCUAGUAGGUGGGGUAAAGGCUCACAUAGGCGACGAUCCCUAGCUGGUCUGAGAGGAUGACCAGCAACACUGGAACUGAGACACGGCCCAGACUCCUACGGGAGGCAGAAGUGGGGAAUAGUGCACGAUGGGCGCAAGCCUGAUGCAGCCAUGCCGCGUGUAUGAAGAAGGCGUUCGGGUUGUAAAGUACUUUCAGCGGGGAGGCGUUACCCGAAGAAGAAGCACCGGCUAACUCCGUGCCAGCAGCCGCGGUAAUAC